CCUACGGGAGGCAGCAGUAGGGAAUAUUGGUAAUGGGCGAAAGCCUGAACCAGCAACGCCGCGUGUGCGAUGAAGGCCUUCGGGUUGCAAAGCACUUUUUAAGAGGAUGAGGAAGGACAGUACUCUUAGAAUAAGCCUCGGCUAACUACGUGCCAGCAGCCGCGGUAACACGUAGGAGGCAAGCGUUAUUCGGAUUUACUGGGCGUAAAGCGCGUGCAGGCGGUUUGGUAAGUUGGAUGUGAAAGCUCCUGGCCUAACUGGGAGAGGUCGUUCAAUACUACCAGACUAGAGGAUGGGAGAGGGAGGUGGAAUUCCGGGUGUAGUGGUGAAAUGCGUAGAUAUCCGGAGGAACACCAGUGGCGAAAGCGGCCUCCUGGCCCAUUUCUGACGCUCAGACGCGAAAGCUAGGGUAGCAAACGGGAUUAGAGACCCCGGUAGUCCUAGCUGUAAACGAUGUGGACUUGGCGUCGGCGGGUUUAAAUCCGUCGGUGCCGAAGCUAACGCGAUAAGUUCACCGCCUGGGGACUACGGCCGCAAGGUUAAAACUCAAAGGAAUUGACGGGACCCCGCACAAGCAGCGGAGCGUGUGGUUUAAUUCGAUGCUACACGAAGAACCUUACCAGGGUUUGACAUACAAGUGGCAGGGAUCCGAAAGGUGACCGACCCUUCGGGGAGCUAUGAGAAGGGCGAAUUCCACCCUUUGGGCGGCGU
rnacentral:rRNA from 1 species